UGUGAUGGUGCUGGGUGGCCUCCCCUUGCAGUUCUCUGCAUUGAAAACCUGUUGUUUAGUGCAGCCACCUUCAUUAGCUGCCUUAGCUUCAUCUCCUGGAGCACUUGCAGCAGCCUCUGGGUCAGCUCUUCCCGCCUUACCUUGCACAGAGGGUAAAAAGAAAAUGCAAGACCACCAUGCUGCAUCGGGAUCUCUGAAAGAACGUGAGGAAGACGGUUUCCAAAGGCAGGUGAAGAAAGUACGCGCCCUUGAUGAAAUCAGUGGACAGAGAACUAUGGACACUGAAGGGAAGGUGGACAUGAACGGAUGUGAGCUGGUGGGAAAGCAGCAGCUGUUGGCAGCAAAGGAGGAGGCAAAAUUGGCUGAAGAGGAGACAAGGUGAUACAAGUGAGUUCAGCUCCUCUGCACCUGCGGCUCUGAAAACACCCGUUGGAUUUUUUGAAAACUUUUCUAAAAUGUUUAGACACAAUAUCAUAAACCGACCCAAACAAAAGACAUUUGUAUACAUGGCUUCACACAGGAGGAAAAGUGUUAAGUUUUACACAUGUUAAGUUAAACGUUUAACUUUAAAAAGUAUUAAGUUACUAAGAAUU